rnacentral:lncRNA from 1 species
AGGUUAAGGAUAGCUCGUUAAAUCUAUUCAUCCAUCAUAUGUCAAAUUCAAUCGACUCGAGUCUAUAUGAAAUCUUAUAAAAUUAUUUUUUCAUCAUUCACCUACCAUGGCUAUGGAUUUUCAAACUUAGUCUCAUGAACUGCAUAGAACCUCUCCUUAUCUAUCAGGAUCGACAAAUCUCAUCUUGAUGCAUAUCCUAUUCCUAUAAUAGACCUACUGUAGCUAACAUACACCUCAAGAUUUUGAAUGGAUAGGUAACUAAAU